CCUACGGGAGGCAGCAGUGAGGAAUAUUGGUCAAUGGGCGGAAGCCUGAACCAGCCAAGUAGCGUGCGGGAUGACGGCCCUAUGGGUUGUAAACUGCUUUUGUACGGGGAUAAAACUCUCCACGUGUGGAGGUCUGCAGGUACCGUACGAAUAAGGAUCGGCUAAUUCCGUGCCAGCAGCCGCGGUAAUACGGAAGAACCGAGCGUUAUCCGGAUUUAUGGGGUUUAAAGGGAGCGUAGGCGGGUGCAUAAGUCAGCGGUAAAAUCGCGCGGCUCAACCGCGCCCCGCAGUUGAAACUGGGCGCCUUGAGUGUACAACGGGCAGGCGGAAUUCGUGGUGUAGCGGUGAAAUGCAUAGAUAUCACGAAGAACCCCGAUUGCGAAGGCAGCCUGCCGGGGUACGACUGACGCUGAGGCUCGAAGGUGCGGGUAUCAAACAGGAUUAGAUACCCGUGUAGUC
rnacentral:rRNA from 1 species